rnacentral:rRNA from 1 species
AAAGUGAGUAAUUUGUCUCAACGUUUAUAGGUUUAAGGAGCAGCAUGCCCAUGCCCGGACAUGAGAUGUUAGGGGCGAUGGAGGCCGUGAGCUGCGGCGGCGCGUGUGUCGCCGUCAUCGUUUCGUCACGGGCUCGGCGGCGUACGACGGCGGCGACGCAUCUGGGAAGAUCUUCGAAGGGCUCCUACCUGGGCAGGUGCGGGGAGGAGCGGUAGAGGUCCCGAUAGAGGAGGGCGAGGUCCAGCAAGGGGCGGUGCAGGGGCGUGUUGUAGGAGGAGGCGCCGGCGGGGGAGUGCCGGGGUGAGCCGGCGCGGGGACAGAAGCGGCGAAGGCGGGUCGCAGCGAGGCACUUGCCGCUGCACGAGGAGGAGAGCGAGCGCGCGGAUCGCGAGGCGCCGGGCCGGAGGGGAGCGGCGACCAAGCGCUCGCAGAGCCGAAGGGGGGAACGCAGCUGGCCAGGAGGGCCACCGCCCACGCCAUCCCCCUUACCUCUACCUCCCCCGCCGCCACUACCUCCGCCGCUACCCACCUUCGCCGGCGCACGAAGGGUCCCCUGCCGCCACCGUCUCCUUCGCCGUCCCGACCUUCGGCUAUGGUAUUAGGAACUGCAACCCCCCUACAGCACACCCCCUACACGUCGUUCGCAAUUUGCGUAAAACCUCUUACUCGGGGUCCACCACAGACGUUGACAGUUGGAACGAUGACUCUACCGUCAACACACCCGACACGGCCUUCUAUCUCGACAUGUCCUAACCUUUGACGUCAACCCACUCUUCGAGCGAUCGGUCAACUGUUGUACACCCAUGUUUAGGUCGGUCGCUCUAAGAAGCUUUCAGUCAAGUGUCUUACAAAAACUUUCUUUCUACCCGCUUUUUGACGUUUUAGACUUCGUUUCACCAGCUCUUGAACGACAUAGAACCCGUGAUACACGACAAACGGAUGACCCUGUAUAAAGAGUAGAGAAACCUCAAUUACGUGGUAACCACGUGGACAAAGUAAGGUGACCUAAGGUAAACAGAGAGAGUUAUAAAUGUAAAUAACCCGGACCUGCUUCUGAUUAAUAACUACCUUAUUUCUCAGAUAAGUUCCCAAGAGGUUUGUACUUAUGCAACCAACCAAAUCCACGAGACAGUAGAAAACGACAGUCGAGUCAACGUCGGAAGUAAGGUUUCGACCCUACCUUCUGUAAAAAACUCCUUGGUUAAUACAACUAUCGAAAACAAGAAGAUCCCUUCUUAGAACUCGUCUCCCGCUUCAAUUUUCGACGAUCACUAUACUGGCCUAACGAGUUAUAUGAAGGUAGUUUUCGUGCGGAUUACCACCUAUUACUACGUCUCGUUAGUAGUAAGUGUCUCCAGGGUACACCAUGAGAACGACAACCCCUGAUAUACAAUCACGACGGACCCCUGGCGUAAGGUCGGCUACCUGAACACUUUCGACCUUCUUCAUGUCAACUGCUCAGUUCAAACUGUCCACUUGGAUACGGCCAUUGAUUCUAACGUCCCCGUCUUCAUAGUCGCCCUUCGUAAUUGAAUUUGCCAUUUGACUGUCAACUUCAAGCUGCUGGACCGCCACUCUGACAGUACAGACUGUAUGAAGUGAAUCACCUUCUUCGUGUCUGUUCCCUUCGGGGACAAGUCGCUAAUCGACUGUUCCAACGGCCCUUGAAAUGUAUACCGCAAUACCGCGAAAGAAGACGAUGGAAAUACAAGACCUCAUAAAAACCAAGUGUUAAACAUGGACGACGAUAGGUCGUCCCUUCACGUUACAGAGACCGAAACGUCGAAAGAACGUCACAAGACCAUUAACGAACGGGUACACGAGAACCAGAACGGUGUGGGUGACGUCACGACCAACCAUGAAGCAAUCCACGUUGCUCUCCUGAAGAAAAUGCACCACCCCUACAAAACCUCUUUAAACGCCUUCAACUACGGUAACACAAACUAUUCUGGCCUUGAAAUUGUUAACCCUUUGGACAUCACUGUUUUCAUUAUCGAAGAGUGUCGCUCCCUCCACAUUUAUGUUUUCUAAUGACCUUGUUACUUACCUGUCUUCCACUGUAAGAAUCAAACCGACGACCUCAUCUUAGUUUAUGUUUGGUAGGUGAACCUUUUCGCUAGUACCUUCGACGGGUCCGACGGUUAACGUAGUUAUACUUCCGUUUCCUACCCAGGAAAUACCUUCUUGGUCCCAGACCACGACACCGAUGCUAACCACUCUUUGUCCAAAGCCAACCAUGUAAUCUGACCUAAUCCUCCGUACCACAACAAGCACUGGGUAAAGUACUUCGUCUUUCAAAACCAGUCAGACAACGUAUACAUCGUCAACUACCAUGAGAUCGACCAGAAUAAACAAAGCUCCUGUUCUAGUCUCUUCUAAGAGUAGUUCAAUAGUCACGGGACAGAUUCGUUCCUUAAUCACACAUAUACAAUAGACCCCUGUUCCUCUCACGACGAUACUUACAACGAAGUCAACAACCGUAAGUCAAUCUGUUCCACUAAAGACUUCAAUUUGGUGUACUCUUUUUCUUCAAGUAUAGACUUGAAGUUUUCCUCGUGUUCAAUCAACGCUACCAACCACUACCGUAGUUACUACGACGUCGGGAUCGAAAUCGACUACAACCUUAGCGUUACCCACCCCCACAACCACGUCGAUCACUACAUAGAAGUCAACAAGAGUACCCAUUAUCCAAUAGAGUCGAACAACUACGAAAUCUCAAUUCAUUUCUUUGGUACUCUUGUCACUUCGUUUUAGAAACCACCCGAAAAGACAUAUUGUAACAACCCGAUGGGCAACGACGACCUCGUAACGACGGUCACUGCCCAUGCUACGACUGGGGCAGUUAUCGACCUCGUGACUACCCAAAAUCAAGUCAGUCGCACUACCGGUUAAGGAACGAAAACUCCCGCUCCUACUCAAGUUCCGUAGUACAAGUCUCGUCUGUUUUCGGAGUGUUGUGGUAAAGACCACACAGUCUGCCUCGACUACUCCAUCUCGUUUCAAUAGGUAGUUUUACCUCCUCAUGGACUGACUUCAAACUUCACUACUGUAUGAAUAAUGAGGUGCUUGUAAACUAAUAUCGAGUCAGUGUAUCGGUGUCAGGAACUUGGUCACCGCCUAGAACCCAGAAUAGUUGUCCCAUGGUAUGAAAGCUGUGUGUUAAAUUAAUUAACAACACGCACCUACUUGUAGUGUUCGAGUGGUACUAUAACCAGUUUUAAUGUUAUGUUUCAAGUGACCAACUAGUCACAUCAUCAUUAUAACACGGGUUAAAUUAACACCACACGCCUAUAACGUUUAAGUUACGUAUUUUAAACAGUUUUAAUCUGUACAACAUCCUUUUAGCUUAAGAUAAGAUGGAUAGGGUGGAUCAGUAUGUACCGUUUAACAGCUCCAGCAUUUGUCGGUUAUAUCUAGUAUACACGAAUCUUUACAGCUAAUAAUUAGUGAACUCCACCUUAAUGGAAUUUGGAAAAAUUAGCUGUUUCCAAAAUUCUGUAUGAGGGAGGCAAGAUUUUAUCUACUGAGUUGAAACAUGAUUUCAAUCAUAUUUCAACUCAGUAGAUAAAACCUUGCCUCCCCUAGAUCUUAGUCACUCAAUGAAAACUUCUUACAAGUUAACAGUUAAAAUUGGAUAAAAUAAUGAUCACUUUGGAACGUGCCGCCGUACAACGUGCAAGCUCCCUCGUACGUUACACGAAUCGUCCUAUUUCUUCGUUAAAAUAACGGUGCGACCUAUUUUGAAAACGAAUAUAACUUCCUAAACAACGAACUAAACCGUUGCUACGAACACGUAAAUUGAACACCAUUAAUCACAUUAUCUAGUAGGUUCAUGGAUGCUUCCCCUCGAACGUGAUGUCAUCUACGUUAAAUGUAAUCACGAGUGACUACACCGUUAUAAGGUAGAAGAAUUCGUGCGGAUGUAUUCGUGGAACGUAACGUGUACGGGGAUAACGUUAACGGAUCUAGAGGGGGUGCGAUUGGUAUACACACGCACGUUACUUGGUUAGGUGAAAAUUGGAACGUUCUCCCUCCGAUUACUUCAACGUCUAACGGACCGAUUUAGGACAAUAUAAAGAUUUAGGGGCAGAUAAACCCUAUUAUGGAGGAACUAAAGUAAAGUAAGAACUAACAUUUGCUAGACCGACAGUAAACUACUUAUUUUAAUGAAAGGGCAUUUUUUUUGAUUAGAUGGAAAUUGUUCCGUAACAAUGUACCAACUCGGUGUGGUCUAAUUGUUUGUUGAGCUCGCGUAGCUCGAGGUAGAUCAAUAGUGGAUCGCCGAAGGGUUGUGCAAUGUGUACGUAAGAUAAAUAUACCCCUAAGGCACAAGUUCGUGUUUAUAUUGGAGUCUUCUCCAAAGAGUAGUACAUGUUGUUUUUAAGAUGAACCUACGCCUAAAAGAGCGGGGAAGGUAAUCCCGGCAGAGGGCACUGCUCCUUCCUCGUGGCGACCCGGCCCCUCGUUGCGUUCCGGCUCCGGUUGAUACUCCAGAUACAUCUCUUGGAGUAACUCCAACUAAGUGUCGAGGUGUUAGUUGUUGUGACGUAAGACGCUCAGCUCCCUCCGCCUCGCGUUGUUUAAUAACCUCCGCCUCGAGAAGCUACUCCUCCUCUACUUCUGCACCUCAUCCAGAUGGCGGUUACUGGUGCUCCGGUCGGGAAGGUCGCCUCCCCACUAACUGUAGAGGCUGCUCCUUAAUCUGUUGAUGAUGUUAAUCCUCAUCUCGAUCCAGAUAGCGUUACAUCACGAUCCCUAGAUACUUUUACGGUCACAAAUUCAAACAGCAAAGUACAAAUUACACGUUGUAAAGUAAGAUCUCGAAUUUUAUACGUUACUUAAAUACUACGAACAGGUACAAAGUUUAAGAUGCUAUGGUUUUUUAUUAAAAUCUCGACGACUUUCUCGUCUUUGAAAAGACAACUUG